UACAGAGGGUGCGAGCGUUGUCCGGAAUCACUGGGCGUAAAGGGCGCGUAGGCGGCCUGAUAAGUAGGGGGUGAAAUCUUGCGGCUCAACCGCAAGGCUGCCUUCUAAAACUGUCAGGCUGGAGCACGGUAGAGGCAGAUGGAAUUCCCGGUGUAGCGGUGGAAUGCGUAGAGAUCGGGAAGAACACCAGUGGCGAAGGCGGCUUUCUGGUCGUGUAACUGACGCUGAGGCGCGAAAGCGUGGGGAGCAAACAGG
rnacentral:rRNA from 1 species